UACGUAGGGUGCGAGCGUUGUCCGGAAUUACUGGGCGUAAAGAGCUCGUAGGCGGUUUGUCGCGUCGUCUGUGAAAACUCGCAGCUCAACUGUGGGCGUGCAGGCGAUACGGGCAGACUUGAGUACUGCAGGGGAGACUGGAAUUCCCAGUGUAGCGGUGAAAUGCGUAGAUAUUGGGAGGAACACCAGUGGCGAAGGCGGCUACCUGGACCGGUUCUGACGCUGAGGCGCGAAAGCGUGGGUAGCAAACAGG
rnacentral:rRNA from 1 species